GGACUACUGGGGUAUCUAAUCCUGUUUGCUCCCCUAGCUUUCGUGCAUCAGCGUCAGUUAUGGUCCAGUGAGCCGCUUUCGCCACAGGUGUUCCUCCUGAUAUCUACGCAUUUCACCGCUACACCAGGAAUUCCACUCACCUCUCCCAUACUCAAGCCCGGCAGUUUCCGAUGCAGACUAUGAGUUGAGCCCAUAGAUUUCACAUCAGACUUACCAAACCGCCUACGCACCCUUUACGCCCAAUAAUUCCGAACAACGCUCGCCCCCCUCGUAUUACCGCGGCUGCUGGCAC
rnacentral:rRNA from 1 species